AUUCACCGAAAGAAGCUUAGUGGCGAACGGGUGAGUAACACGUAGGCGACCUACCCAAAAGAGGGGGAUAACACUUGGAAACAGGUGCUAAUACCGCAUAACCAUGAACACCGCAUGAUGUUCGUGUAAAAGACGGCUUUUGCUGUCACUUUUGGAUGGGCCUGCGGCGUAUUAACUUGUUGGUGGGGUAACGGCCUACCAAGGUGAUGAUACGUAGCCGAACUGAGAGGUUGAUCGGCCACAUUGGGACUGAGACACGGCCCAAACUCCUACGGGAGGCAGCAGUAGGGAAUCUUCCACAAUGGACGAAAGUCUUAUGGAGCAACGCCGCGUGAAUGAAGAAGGCCUUCGGGUCGUAAAACUCUGUUGUCAGAGAAGAAUGUGCGUGAGAGUAACUGUUCACGUAUUGACGGUAUCUGACCAGAAAGCCACGGCUAACUACGUGCCAGCAGCCGCGGUAAUACGUAAGUGGCAAGCGUUGUCCGGAUUUAUUGGGCGUAAAGGGAACGCAGGCGGUCUUUUAAGUCUGAUGUGAAAGCCUUCGGCUUAACCGAAGUAGUGCAUUGGAAACUGGAAGACUUGAGUGCAGAAGAGGAGAGUGGAACUCCAUGUGUAGCGGUGAAAUGCGUAGAUAUAUGGAAGAACACCAGUGGCGAAAGCGGCUCUCUGGUCUGUAACUGACGCUGAGGUUCGAAAGCGUGGGUGGCAAACAGGAUUAGAUACCCUGGUAGUCCACGCCGUAAACGAUGAGUGCUAAGUGUUGGAGGGCUUCCGCCCUUCAGUGCUGCAGCUAACGCAUUAAGCACUCCGCCUGGGGAGUACGGUCGCAAGACUGAAACUCAAAGGAAUUGACGGGGGCCCGCACAAGCGGUGGAGCAUGUGGUUUAAUUCGAAGCAACGCGAAGAACCUUACCAGGUCUUGACAUCUUCUGACAAUUCCAGAGAUGGAACGUUCCCUUCGGGGACAGAAUGACAGGUGGUGCAUGGUUGUCGUCAGCUCGUGUCGUGAGAUGUUGGGUUAAGUCCCGCAACGAGCGCAACCCUUAUUGUCAGUUGCCAUCAUUAAGUUGGGCACUCUGGCGAGACUGCCGGUGACAAACCGGAGGAAGGUGGGGAUGACGUCAAAUCAUCAUGCCCCUUAUGACCUGGGCUACACACGUGCUACAAUGGACGGUACAACGAGUCGCUAACUCGCGAGGGCGAGCUAAUCUCUUAAAGCCGUUCUCAGUUCGGAUUGCAGGCUGCAACUCGCCUGCAUGAAGUCGGAAUCGCUAGUAAUCGCGAAUCAGCAUGUCGCGGUGAAUACGUUCCCGGGCCUUGUACACACCGCCCGUCACACCAUGAGAGUUUGUAACACCCAAAGUCGGUGGGGUAACCUUUUGGAGCCAGCCGCCUAAGGUGGGACAGAUGAUUGGGGUGAAGUCGUAACAAGGUA
rnacentral:rRNA from 1 species